rnacentral:rRNA from 1 species
CGCGGUGAAUACGUUCCCGGACCUUGUACACACCGCCCGUCAAGCCAUGGAAGCUGGGUGUACCUAAAGUCGGUAACCGCAAGGAGCCGCCUAGGGUAAAACUAGUAACUGGGCU